rnacentral:rRNA from 1 species
UACGAAGGGGGCUAGCGUUGCUCGGAAUUACUGGGCGUAAAGGGAGCGUAGGCGGAUAGUUUAGUCAGAGGUGAAAGCCCAGGGCUCAACCUUGGAAUUGCCUUUGAUACUGGCUAUCUUGAGUACGGAAGAGGUAUGUGGAACUCCGAGUGUAGAGGUGAAAUUCGUAGAUAUUCGGAAGAACACCAGUGGCGAAGGCGACUCUCUGGUCUGUAACUGACGCUGAGGCGCGAAAGCGUGGGGAGCAAACAGG